rnacentral:ncRNA from 1 species
GGCUGAGACUCGAACUGUAGCCUUAAUGGCGUGCGUGCCCUAGCGGGAUAGAGUCUCAGUUUUUU